rnacentral:rRNA from 1 species
AUACGGAGGGUCCAAGCGUUAUCCGGAAUCAUUGGGUUUAAAGGGUCCGCAGGCGGUCAAUUAAGUCAGAGGUGAAAGCCCAUCGCUCAACGAUGGAACUGCCUUUGAUACUGGUUGACUUGAGUUAUACGGAAGUAGAUAGAAUAAGUAGUGUAGCGGUGAAAUGCAUAGAUAUUACUUAGAACACCGAUUGCGAAGGCAGUCUACUACGUAUAUACUGACGCUGAGGGACGAAAGCGUGGGGAGCGAACAGGAUUAGAAACCCUAGUAGUCC